AUACGGAGGAUCCGAGCGUUAUACGGAUUUAUUGGGUUUAAAGGGAGCGUAGGUGGACAUGUAAGUCAGUUGUGAAAGUUUGCGGCUCAACCGUAAAAUUGCAGUUGAUACUGUGUGUCUUGAGUACAGUAGAGGUGGGCGGAAUUCGUGGUGUAGCGGUGAAAUGCUUAGAUAUCACGAAGAACUCCGAUUGCGAAGGCAGCUCACUGUACUGUUACUGACACUGAGGCUCGAAAGUGUGGGUAUCAAACAGGAUUAGAUACCCUGUUAGUCCACACAGUAAACGAUGAAUACUCGCUGUUUGCGAUAUACAGCAAGCGGCCAAGCGAAAGCAUUAAGUAUUCCACCUGGGGAGUACGCCGGCAACGGUGAAACUCAAAUGAAUUGACGGGG
rnacentral:rRNA from 1 species